rnacentral:tRNA from 1 species
UGUCAUGUGGCGGAGUUGACUAACGUGCCUUGUCUUGCGAACUUGGGGAGACGUGGGUUCAAACCCCACCAAAACUA